GCGCUCGUAGCUCAUUUUGGAUAGAGCGCUAUCUUCCGAAGGUAGAGGUAUCAGGUUCAAAUCCUGUCGAGCGCA
rfam:Triticum urartu cultivar G1812 contig1320948, whole genome shotgun sequence.